CAGCCUUUUUCCUGGAUGCCAGGGACUGCUAACUGGGUCAGACCCAGGAAAUGGUGCUCUACCAGACCCUGGGCAGAAAGAGUCCCCGAGUUCUUCCACCCGAUCUCAGCCGAGGCAAUGCCCAACAUUACAACCUCAGCUAAAAGCCUUUGAUCAUACUUGAAAGACUUUGUGAAAACUUAUGGAAGGUGUACUCUGCUCUUGGCCAAGAUUUUCCUUAAAGAAGGUCUGGAACCACAUGCAUCCUCCCUCAAAGCAGGAAGUAAAAGUGACACCUGUGGACGUCAUCAUUCCGCAGAGAAGUUCCUUCCUCCUAAGAGGGUCCAGCUUCCCCUCCAGGGGAGGAAACACGUCAGUCACUUAACUUAGAAUGCUGUCUCCAGUACACACGCCUGGACCCCUUUGGCCUGGUAAAGCCUAUGGACCUUCUUUCAGAUUAAUGUUUUUUUUUUAAAUAGUUUUG